rnacentral:lncRNA from 1 species
UCCCUCGAAUGAGCAGCGCUAGUAAUCUUCGUAACCAUAGUUACAGGCCACGCCCAUCUAGUGCUCGUGCGAAUUUCACAGACCUUCCUAGUGAAUCUCCUGAUAAGAUCUCAAAUAUCAUUUCCAAGUGGCGUAUAAAAUUCAGUGGAUCUUCCAAAUAUAUUCCCAUCGAAGAUUUUAUUUAUAGAGUGAAUUGUCUACCAAUAAUUGUUUAAAUGGAAACUUUACCUUACUGGCGCAGUUCGCUAGUCUCUUAUUUACUGAUUCAGCCUUGUCAUUUUACUGGCGUGUUCAUAGGACCACGAAUAACCUUGACUGGUAUGAGUUAUGCAGCCGGUUGCAAGAGAGAUACCAGGAUCAACGUUCGGAUCGAGAGAUCAAAGCAGCCAUGCGUAGGCGUAAACAGGGUAGUAAUGAAAGCUUUGACGAUUUUCUAGAUGCGAUUCUAUCUAUCGCAGACUCUUUACGAGAGCCUAUGCGGGACGGUGACGUCACCAUAGAGGUUCGCGAGAAUUUAAAGUCGGAACUGAAGCUCGACUUGCUUCAUAUCGAAACUCCAGAUUUGGCAACCUUACGCAAGGAGUGUCACAAGCACGAGGAAUUCUUUCGAAAUCUGAAGUCAAAUCAUUUUUCGCGACACGAAGUAGUGAAUAGCAAGAGGUUUGUGAACUCCAUUAGCCAUGACGAAGAAGCUGAUGAUAAUUCCGAAAAAGAAGGGGACUCCCUUGACGAAGUUUAUGCACUCCGAUCUUCCGAAAUUAUUAAAUGCUGGAAUUGCGAAGAACAGGGCCACAAAUACCAGGAAUGCCUAAAACCUCGUCGUAUUUUCUGUUAUGGUUGUGGUGUACCUGAUACGUACAAGCCCAACUGUGCAAGGUGUAAAUCGACUACGGAAAACGUGUCCCAGGAUGUCCGUCGGUCAACAAGACGCGACAUCCGACGUUAGUCUCGGAUGUUCAAC